rnacentral:rRNA from 2 species
GCGGGUAGGGGUAAAAUCCGCUGAUCCGCGGAAGACCAACAGUGGCGAAGGCGCCCGGCCAGAACGCGCCCGACGGUGAGGGACGAAAGCCAGGGGAGCGAACCGGAUUAGAUACCCGGGUAGUCCUGGCCGUAAACGAUGCUCGCUAGGUCUUGGCGAAGCUUAGGGCUUCGCCAGGGCCGCAGGGAAGCCGUUAAGCGAGCCGCCUGGGGAGUACGGCCGCAAGGCUGAAACUUAAAGGAAUUGGCGGGGGAGCACCACAAGGGGUGAAGCCUGCGGUUUAAUUGGAGUCAACGCCCGGAACCUUACCAGGGGUGACGGCAGGAUGAAGGUCAGGCUAAAGACCUUACCUGACAAGCCGAGAGGAGGUGCAUGGCCGUCGCCAGCUCGUGCUGUGAAGUGUCCUGUUAAGUCAGGCAACGAGCGAGACCCUCGCUGCCAGUUGCUUCCCCACUCCGAAAGGGGUGGGGAGGAAACUGGCAGGACCGCCGCCGAUAAGGCGGAGGAAGGAGGGGGCUACGGCAGGUCAGUAUGCCCCGAAACCCCUGGGCCACACGCGGGCUGCAAUGGUGGGGACAAUGGGAUCCGAACCCGAAAGGGGGAGGUAAUCCCGAAACCCCACCGUAGUUGGGAUCGAGGGCUGCAACCCGCCCUCGUGAACCUGGAAUCCCUAGUAAUCGCGGGUCACCAUCCCGCGGUGAAUACGUCCCCGCUCCUUGCACACACCGCCCGUCA